GACGAACGCUGGCGGCGUGCCUAACACAUGCAAGUCGAGCGGGAUCCAUCUGGUGGCAACACCGGGGAAGAUCUAGCGGCGAACGGGUGAGUAACACGUGAGAAACAUGACCCGAACUUCGUGAUAACACGGGGAAACCAGUGCUAAUACCGAAUACCCUCUACCGGUCGCAUGGACGGAAGCGGAAAGAUUCGUCGGAUCGGGAGGGUCUCGCGGCCUAUCAGCUAGUUGGCGGGGUAACGGCCCACCAAGGCAUCGACGGGUAGCUGGUCUGAGAGGACGAUCGGCCACACUGGGACUGAGACACGGCCCAGACUCCUACGGGAGGCAGCAGUGGGGAAUGUUGCGCAAUGGGCGAAAGCCUGACGCAGCAACGCCGCGUGCGGGAUGAAGGCCUUCGGGUUGUAAACCGCUUUCAGCAGGGAAGAAAAUGACGGUACCUGCAGAAGAAGCCCCGGCCAACUACGUGCCAGCCGCCGCCGUAA
rnacentral:rRNA from 1 species